GACGAACGCUGGCGGCGUGCUUAACACAUGCAAGUCGAACGGAAAGGCCCUGCUUUUGUGGGGUGCUCGAGUGGCGAACGGGUGAGUAACACGUGAGUAACCUGCCCUUGACUUUGGGAUAACUUCAGGAAACUGGGGCUAAUACCGGAUAGGAGCUCCUGCUGCAUGGUGGGGGUUGGAAAGUUUCGGCGGUUGGGGAUGGACUCGCGGCUUAUCAGCUUGUUGGUGGGGUAGUGGCUUACCAAGGCUUUGACGGGUAGCCGGCCUGAGAGGGUGACCGGCCACAUUGGGACUGAGAUACGGCCCAGACUCCUACGGGAGGCAGCAGUGGGGAAUAUUGCACAAUGGGCGGAAGCCUGAUGCAGCAACGCCGCGUGCGGGAUGACGGCCUUCGGGUUGUAAACCGCUUUCGCCUGUGACGAAGCGUGAGUGACGGUAAUGGGUAAAGAAGCACCGGCUAACUACGUGCCAGCAGCCGCGGUGAUACGUAGGGUGCGAGCGUUGUCCGGAUUUAUUGGGCGUAAAGGGCUCGUAGGUGGUUGAUCGCGUCGGAAGUGUAAUCUUGGGGCUUAACCCUGAGCGUGCUUUCGAUACGGGUUGACUUGAGGAAGGUAGGGGAGAAUGGAAUUCCUGGUGGAGCGGUGGAAUGCGCAGAUAUCAGGAGGAACACCAGUGGCGAAGGCGGUUCUCUGGGCCUUUCCUGACGCUGAGGAGCGAAAGCGUGGGGAGCGAACAGGCUUAGAUACCCUGGUAGUCCACGCUGUAAACGGUGGGUACUAGGUGUGGGGUCCAUUCCACGGGUUCCGUGCCGUAGCUAACGCUUUAAGUACCCCGCCUGGGGAGUACGGCCGCAAGGCUAAAACUCAAAGGAAUUGACGGGGCCCCGCACAAGCGGCGGAGCAUGCGGAUUAAUUCGAUGCAACGCGUAGAACCUUACCUGGGUUUGACAUGGAUCGGGAGUACUCAGAGAUGGGUGUGCCUCUUUUGGGGUCGGUUCACAGGUGGUGCAUGGCUGUCGUCAGCUUGUGUCGUGAGAUGUUGGGUUAAGUCCCGCAACGAGCGCAACCCUUGUUCACUGUUGCCAGCACGUUAUGGUGGGGACUCAGUGGAGACCGCCGGGGUCAACUCGGAGGAAGGUGGGGAUGACGUCAAGUCAUCAUGCCCCUUAUGUCCAGGGCUUCACGCAUGCUACAAUGGCUGGUACAGAGAGUGGCGAGCCUGUGAGGGUGAGCGAAUCUCGGAAAGCCGGUCUCAGUUCGGAUUGGGGUCUGCAACUCGACCUCAUGAAGUCGGAGUCGCUAGUAAUCGCAGAUCAGCAACGCUGCGGUGAAUACGUUCCCGGGGCU
rnacentral:rRNA from 1 species